ACUCCUACGGGAGGCAGCAGUUUCGAAUCAUUCACAAUGGGCGAAAGCCUGAUGGUGCGACGCCGCGUGAGGGAUGAAGGUCUUCGGAUUGUAAACCUCUGUCACUGGGGAGAAAACGCUUUGAGUUAAUAGUUCAAAGCCUGAUUUAACCCGGAGAGGAAGCAGUGGCUAACUCUGUGCCAGCAGCCGCGGUAAU
rnacentral:rRNA from 1 species